GUCGAGUUGUUUGGGAAUGCUGCUCUAAAUGGGAGGUAUAUCUCUUCUAAAGCUAAAUAUAGGCUAGAGACCGAUAGCGCACAAGUAGAGUGAUCGAAAGAUGAAAAGCACUUUGAAAAGAGAGUUAAACAGCACGUGAAAUUGUUGAAAGGGAAGCGCCUAUGACCAGACUUGUUUCUGGCAGUUUCGUUAGCCCUCGGGCUGAUUUACUCUGUCCAGUACAGGCCAGCAUCAGUUUGNUGUCGGGGAGAAAGGCUCUGGGAACGUAGCUCCCCCCUUCUGGGGGGAGUGUUAUAGCCCUCUGCAUAAUACCCUUCGGCAGACUGAGGACCGCGCUUCGGCAAGGAUGCUGGCGUAAUGGUCAUCAGCGACCCGUCUUGAAACAC
rnacentral:rRNA from 1 species